GGAAAAGAAACUUACCAAGGAUUCCCCUAGUAACGGCGAGUGAAGCGGGAUGAGCUCAAAUUUAAAAUCUGGCUGGUUUACUAGUCCGAAUUGUAGUUUAUAGAAGCGUUUUCGGUGGCAGCCUGGGUAUAAAUCCUUUGGAAUAGGGUAUCAUAGAGGGUGAGAAUCCCGUCUUUGACUCAGUGCAUGCUACUAUGUGAUACGUUUUCAAAGAGUCGAGUUGUUUGGGAAUGCAGCUCAAAAUGGGUGGUAAAUUUCAUCUAAAGCUAAAUAUUGGCGAGAGACCGAUAGCGAACAAGUACCGUGAGGGAAAGAUGAAAAGAACUUUGAAAAGAGAGUUAAACAGUGCGUGAAAUUGUUGAAAGGGAAACGUUUGACACCAGUUAUGCGGGUGGAAAAUCAGUCUUUUGCAAUGGGGAGUUGUGGGCGUUCAGACCGCAAGGCUGGCGUUUGCUUCAUCUUUGUUGUAAGUGAUGCACUUUUUCAUUUGCAGGUCAACAUCAGUUUGCUUUGCUGGACAAAACCCCAAGGGAAGGUGACAGCUUAGGCUGUGUUAUAGCCCUGGGGCGAUACAGUGGAGUGGACUGAGGUUUCGCAGUGUGUGCUCUCGGGCAAGGCUGACUGGGUGCUAUGGGAUCGUUCGGCGUACAAUGCAUGCAUUUUGCGUCGUGUCUUUUUCAUACUCGCUCAACUCGGCUCUUCCACACUUAGGAUGUUGACUUAAUGGUUUUAAACGACCCGUCUUGAAACACGGACCAAGGAGUCUAACAUAUAUGCAAGUGUUUGGGUGGCAAACCCAUGCGCGUAAUGAAAGUGAACGUAGGUGCGAUCCGCAAGGUGCAGCAUCGACCGAUCUUGAUAUUUUUGGAUAGAUUUGAGUAAGAGCAUAUAUGCUGGGACCCGAAAGAUGGUGAACUAUGCCUGAAUAGGGUGAAGCCAGAGGAAACUCUGGUGGAGGCUCGUAGCGAUUCUGACGUGCAAAUCGAUCGUCAAAUUUGGGU
rnacentral:rRNA from 1 species